CGUGCCUAACACAUGCAAGUCGAGCGAGGAGAUCCUUCGGGAUGAUCCUAGCGGCGGACGGGUGAGUAACACGUGGGCAACCUGCCUCAUAGAGAGGAAUAGCCUUCCGAAAGGGAGAUUAAUACCUCAUAACAUUGCAGUUUCGCAUGAAACAGCAAUUAAAGGAGCAAUCCGCUAUGAGAUGGGCCCGCGGCGCAUUAGCUAGUUGGUGAGGUAACGGCUCACCAAGGCGACGAUGCGUAGCCGACCUGAGAGGGUGAUCGGCCACAUUGGGACUGAGACACGGCCCAGACUCCUACGGGAGGCAGCAGUGGGGAAUAUUGCACAAUGGGGGAAACCCUGAUGCCAGCAACGCCGCGUGAGUGAUGACGGCCUUCGGGUUGUAAAGCUCUGUCUUCAGGGACGAUAAUGACGGUACCUGAGGAGGAAGCCACGGCUAACUACGUGCCAGCCGCCGC
rnacentral:rRNA from 1 species